UUGUGGUUCAUGACUGGGGUGAAGUCGUAACAAGGUAGCCCUAGGGGAACCUGGGGCUGGAUCACCUCCUUA
rnacentral:rRNA from 3 species